AUGUCUGACCACCAGUGCCUUGGUCUGUCGCUGUGUCCCGUGCUUACCGCAUGCCUCGCCGCUAUUACCGCGUCGAGCCUCUGCUGUCCUGGUCGAGUCUCCCGGGUAGCAAGCCCCCACUGCCUCAACCCCCACUGCAGAGAACCAUCGAUCAUCACCGACCGAUGCCGAGUAUCACGUCUCCAUCAGACCACUGGUACCCAGUCCGAUCCACGUGUCUCUCGCUAUCCCGCUGAAAUAGGCUUCGAUUCUCUGAUAUCUUACACCGUAGCCCCUCCAUCAGCACAGAGUGAAGUCUUCCGUCAAACUCCAGCUCCACCUUCAACAUGA
rnacentral:rRNA from 1 species